rnacentral:rRNA from 1 species
UACGAAGGGGGCUAGCGUUGCUCGGAAUCACUGGGCGUAAAGCGCACGUAGGCGGCCUGUUAAGUCGGACGUGAAAUCCCUCGGCUCAACCGGGGAACUGCGUCUGAUACUGGCGGGCUUGAAUUCGGGAGAGGGAUGUGGAAUUCCAGGUGUAGCGGUGAAAUGCGUAGAUAUCUGGAGGAACACCGGUGGCGAAGGCGGCAUCCUGGACCGACAUUGACGCUGAGGCGCGAAAGCCAGGGGAGCAAACGGG